AGUGAACGCUGGCGGUAGGCCUAACACAUGCAAGUCGAACGGCAGCACAGGAGAGCUUGCUCUCUGGGUGGCGAGUGGCGGACGGGCGAGGAAUACAUCGGAAUCUACUUUUUCGUGGGGGAUAACGUAGGGAAACUUACGCUAAUACCGCAUACGACCUACGGGGGAAAGCAGGGGACCUUCGGGCCUUGCGCGAUUGAAUGAGCCGAUGUCGGAUUAGCUAGUUGGCGGGGUAAAGGCCCACCAAGGCGACGAUCCGUAGCUGGUCUGAGAGGAUGAUCAGCCACACUGGAACUGAGACACGGUCCAGACUCCUACGGGAGGCAGCAGUGGGGAAUAUUGGACAAUGGGCGCAAGCCUGAUCCAGCCAUACCGCGUGGGUGAAGAAGGCCUUCGGGUUGUAAAGCCCUUUUGUUGGGAAAGAAAUCCAGCUGGCUAAUACCCGGUUGGGAUGACGGUACCCAAAGAAUAAGCACCGGCUAACUUCGUGCCAGCCGCCGCCGUAA
rnacentral:rRNA from 1 species